AUUAGAUUUCCCGGAAGCUCGCACCCAGAUUUUGUUAUCCACAUCGGUUGAUCCUUGCAUACUACCCCUCACGGUUGAUGCGACGAAUCUGAGACCUAGUAUGCAAUUACAAUGGGUGGAAUCAUUUAAAUUACUUGUUUCACAUAUGACGCAAAGUGCUAAAUAUCAAAACAUACGAGCAUCAUGCUUAUAUAAAACGACAAGUAAAUCACACGAGUACGCAGGACUGUAGGAGGUACCUAAAACAGCUAGUAAAUCACACAAGUAUCCUUUAAUGACACAGGAGGUGGUACCAUAACUACGACGUGAGAGUUAUGGUCAUCUUAAUUCACAUCGAAAAAAUGACCAAAUAUCUCUACUUCAGUGAAGAUGCAAUCCUACGUAUAAUCUAGAGUUAUGGUCACUGUCGUACAAUGGUGCAAUUAUGUACUCCACUAACUACCACUUCAUUAAUAGAUUUACAGUUUUAUUCAGUAAAAUAUUGGUUGUACUAAAAAGGAGUCAUCAAUAAAAAUAAAGAUUAAUCCCACUCCUAGCAGAGCUAAAAGAGAGUAAAUUCAGAAAUAUCAACUUAUAAUGCACAAUUUAUCACGGAUCCAUCCUAAAUGGCCAUCUAAUAAGCAACAUAUGCUUGCCCAAACUUUAUGUUGCAACAUCCCAAAUUGCCAUUAUAUAGUACCAAUAAUGAGGGAUGAGAAAAUAAAGAAUGAAGUUGUGAUACCCCCGAUUCACUCGUACACUAAUCAUGCACGCAAACGUGUACGAUCAAGAUCAGGGAUUCACGGAAAGAUAUCACAACACAACUCUAAAACAUAAAUAAGUCAUACAAGCAUCAUAAUACAAGCCAGGGGCCUCGAGGGCUCGAAUACAAGUGCUCGAUUAUAGACAAGUCAGCGGAAGCAACAAUAUCUGAGUACAGACAUAAGUUAAACAAGUUGCCAUAAGAUGGCUAGCACAAACUGGGAUACAGAUCGAAAGAGGCGCAGGCCUCCUGCCUGGGAUCCUCCUAAACUACUCCUGGUCGUCGUCAGCGGCCUGCACGUAGUAGUAGGCACCUCCAGUGUAGUAGGAAACAUCGUCGAAGGUGGCGUAUGGCUGCAGGGCUCUAGCAUCUGGUUGCGACAACCAGGUAGAAGGGAAAGGGGAAAAGAGGGAGAAAAGCAACCAUGAGUACUCAUCCAAAGUAAUCGCAAGCAAGGAGCUACACUACAUAUGCAUGGGUAUAUGUGUAAAGGGCCAUAUCGGUGGACUGAACUGCAGAAUGCCAGAAUAAGAGGGGGAUAGCUAAUCCUGUCGAAGACUACGCUUCUGGCAGCCUCCGUCUUGCAGCAUGUAGAAGAGAGUAGAUUGAAGUCCUCCAAGUAGCAUCGCAUAGCAUAAUCCUACCCGGCGAUCCUCCCCUCGUUGCCCUAUGGAAAAGCGAUCACCGGGUUGUCUGUGGAACUUGUCUGGGUGUGUUUUAUUAAGUAUCCGGUUCUAGUUGUCAUAAGGUCAAGGUACAACUCCAAGUCGUCCUGUUACCGAAGAUCAUGGCUAUUCAAAUAGAUUAACUUCCCUGCAGGGGUGCGCCACAUAACCCAACAUGCUCGAUCCCAUUUGGCCGGACACACUUUCCUGGGUCAUGCCCGGCCUCGGAAGAUCAACACGUCGCAGCCCCACCUAGGUACAACAGAGAGGUCAGCACGCCGGUCUAAAUCCUAUGCGCGCAGGGGUCUGGGCCCAUCGCCCAUUGCACACCUGCACGUUGCGUACGCGGCCGGUGAGCAGACCUAGCAACCUCCAUUACAAAGGAAGUUGCGUUAACGCAGUCCAACCCAACGCGCGCCGCUCAGUCGCUGACGUCAAAAAGGCUUCGGCUGAUACCACGACGUCGAGUGCCCAUAACUGUUCCCGCGUAGUUGGUUAGUGCGUAUAGGCCAGUAGCCAGACUCAGAUCAAAUACCAAGAUCUCGUUAAGCGUGUUAAGUAUCCGCGAACACCGAACAGGGCCAGGCCCACCUGUCUCCUAGGUUGUCUCAACCUGCCCUGCCGCUCCGCCACAAAGUAACAAUCGGGGGCCGUCGGGAACCCAGGCCCACCUCUACCGGGAUGGAGCCACCUGUCCUUUCAGCCCCCUCAUCAGAAUCACUUGCGGGUACUCAUCGAGCUGACCCGACUUUAGUCACCAACUGUAUAGUAUGUAUGUAUGUAUAGUAUAUACCCGUGAUCACCUCCCGUGUGAUCACGGCCCAAUAGUAUAGCAAGGCAGACUGACAAGAAUGUAGGGCCAAUGAUGAUAAACUAGCAUCCUGUACUAAGUAUUUAGGAUUGCAGGUAAGGUAUCAAUAGAUGUAGCAACAAUGUCAGGCUAUGCAUGAGAAUAGGAUUAACGGAAAGCAGUAACAUGCUACACUACUCUAAUGCAAGCAGUAUAGAGGAGAAUAGGCGAUAUCUGGUGAUCAAGGGGGGGGGGCUUGCCUGGUUGCUCUGGCAAGAGAGAGGGGUUGUCAACUCCAUAGUCGAACUGGGGCAUCAGCAUCGUCACGGGGUCUACCGAAGAGAAGAGGGGGGAGAAACAGUAAAUACAUAGCAAGCAAGUGCAUAAUAGGAUAACAGGCAGAGCUAGACGUGUUCUAACGCGGUAUGAGGUGAUACCGGUGAAGGGGGAAGCAUCCGGGAAGUAUUCCCGGGGUUCCGUGUUUUCGGGCAGAGGAGCCGGAGGGGGAAAGUUGCGAGUUCGAUAGGUUAGGGGGGUGUGGCGGACGAACGGGUUGCGUAUCCGGAAUCGUCUCGUCGUUCUAAGCAACUUUCAUGUACAAAGUAUUUUCAUCCGAGUUACGGAUUAUUUUAUAUUAAUUUUUAAAGUUUUAUGUCAUUUUUAGAAUUAACAGAAUUAAUUAAACCGAAAAUCAUUUUAUCACGUCAUCAUGAUGUCAGCAUGACAUCAACAGUCAACUGUCGACUUUGACUAGUCAACAGACCACUCGGUCCCACAUGUCAUUGUCUAAGGAUAACUAAACAUGUUUAAUUAGUUUAACUAGUGAUUAGGUUAGUCUAAACAGAAUUAAUUAAGUUAAUUAAUUUAGUUAAUUAAUUAAUUAACAUUUUUAUUUAUUUAUUUUUAUUACUUUUUUUUGUUCUGGGGCUGUGGGCCCCUCGUGUCAUAGAGUCAAGGCCUUAACGGGCGCGGGAACUGGGCUAACGGGGUUUCGCCCCGGUCGUGCAGGCGCGUGUGCCGGGCGCCUUAGCGCGCGGACAGGGGGGAAGGGGACGGCGUGUGGUCCGGCACCGGCGAUCGUGGCCGGUGCAGAGCGGCGCAGCGAGGCCGGCCGGAGCUGAGGGGAGGCGCGAUGGCAUGUGCGCGGGAUGCCAGAGGCGAGCAGCGCAACGACGAGCGAAGCUGGGCCGCGCGGGCGGGGCACCGCGGCCGAGCGGGAAGUUGCAUCGCGCAGGGCGCGGUCAGGCAGCCGUGUACGGCGAGGCGAUGGCGGGGAACGGCUCGGGCGCACGGUGACAGGGGAAGAGAGGAGAGGAGGAGGGCGCGUGCUCACAGGGGUGUUGCAGGGGUUCGGGCAGNNNNNNNNNNNNNNNNNNNNNNNNNNNNNNNNNNNNNNNNNNNNNNNNNNNNNNNNNNNNNNNNNNNNNNNNNNNNNNNNNNNNNNNNNNNNNNNNNNNNNNNNNNNNNNNNNNNNNNNNNNNNNNNNNNNNNNNNNNNNNNNNNNNNNNNNNNNNNNNNNNNNNNNNNNNNNNNNNNNNNNNNNNNNNNNNNNNNNNNNNNNNNNNNNNNNNNNNNNNNNNNNNNNNNNNNNNNNNNNNNNNNNNNNNNNNNNNNNNNNNNNNNNNNNNNNNNNNNNNNNNNNNNNNNNNNNNNNGAGCGAUUGGGCGCGGCCGUGCGGGAGGAGGGGAUCGAGCAGGGGCGCCCCUCCCCCAGGCACGAUGCGUGCGUGAGUGUGUGUGCGUGUGUUGCGUGUGGUGGCGGCGGGUGAGGGGACGAGGGGAAAGGUGGGGGGAGUGGAACGACGGGGGCAACGGGUUAGUGUUUCUGGGGGGUAGUGGCCUUGUAGGCCAGAGAUGGGGGGCGGCUGGGCCGGCCGGUCGGCCAGCUGGGCCGGGGCCCAACGGGAGGGGAGGUUUUCUCCUUUUGUUUGUUUUAUUUUCCCCUUGUUAUUUUUCUUUAUUUCUUUUCUAUUACUUUUAGUUUCACUUUUAUUUUAGAUAUUUGACUUACAAAAGUAGUUCCUAACUUAGUCUAAAUAAUUAUACUACGACCACAUAAGUUUGGGCAACUAGAUAGAAUAGUUUAAUAAUUUAUUAAUUGUAAAAAGCAUUUGAUUAAUUGUUUUACUACUAUUUUAUAUACUUUAGGACAAUCAAACACUUUCAAACAGGUUGGUUUUUCCACCAUUAUUACUUAUGCAUUAUUUGGCUCUCUCCGAACAUUUUUGUCCUAAGGUUUGAAAACUUUUAUUGUUUAUUUAAUUUUUUAAUUUGGACUCGAACAGGUUUCAAACUAACGUGAGAUUAGCAGCAGUAACCGAGGUGAUCUGGCAUCAUUAGCGUGGGAUCAUUGUAGCUUAAUUAUCCGGGCGUCACAAUUCUCCUCCACUACAAGAAAUCUCAUCCUGAGAUUUUAAGAGGUGGAGUAAGGGGGAAAGGUCUGGUUAUGAAAUUCUAACGUGUCUUCUCGGUCUUGGUUACUCUUCUCAAAGAGGUCAAUUGAUAGCGUUGAUGUCUACAUUCCUAUGCAUCGAUGCAUCAUGAUGAAGUUGUCAUUCUUCCUUCGGGAUCUUUACCGUACUUACGGAAGGAUAAGAGGGGGGAAACUCUAUAAGGACAGAUUCUAACAAAAUUGAGCAUCAGACGGUUAGCUCAGGGGAAGAAGCAUAAGUAUCUCUCGAAUUGAAACUUAAGAAGAUAUCGAGAGCAAAGUAAGAAGGUGCCAUGAGAAGUUUCAAGCGGGUAGGCAAUCGUUCGAUGCCUGAAACAAAGUGUAAAAGGGGUCCAGAGCAAUGGGAAUAAGUUUUGUGUCUGAUACCCGAAUAGAUCACUUGGCAGGUGGCCCGUGAGUCACAUAAGAAGCCAAGCUCGAGGAAUAACUUUGGAAACCGGGGGUGUACAGGAGAGUCAGGUUUCGAUCCUGGUGGAACUGUGGGUUAUGGGCCCACCAUGUGGGUUAAAAGUAGGAAGGGCGGUAAUGUCUCGCACGAUCAUGUAAGCAAGACAUGUCAGAGGAUAGCCUGUCACUUAUGUCGACAACAACAUCGAUACCAAGGGCGAGGGACGAAGAGAACCAUUUUCCUGCUCAUUGAAUGAGGCGGACCAAUAGGCAAAGUUCUCGUCCAUCGGCGGUUACCGGAAGUCAUCAACAGUAGAAACAGGGUUACACCAGACAGGAAGGUACACCGAGGUGUUUACCUAAGCAGGGGAUUACCACUGCUCGAUUAAGUAGUUUACAAGAAAGUUUGAACAAAACAACGGGAAGGAAAAUGUGCUUAUACAUGUAUAUCAGGGGUAUAUCCUUCCCAAGGACAAGCAGAGCAUGAUAUCCAUGACAGGAUAUUAGGUAGAAAACUCCUUAGGUAGGGGAGAGAAAUUUCAUGACAUUACCCAUACAUCGGUGUUUGGACAAUUGAGCAAGAAACAUUUAGCAUUGGGCUUCAAAUGUUCUUGUUGAAAAUUGGGGUACCACAUACAUGCUUCAGGUAGCAAUGAUAUGGUGUUUCAAUCAAGGGCCAGACUUUGGAUAUCGGAAGGAUCCAUUAGGAACAACUUGUAGGAUAAGUCUUACAAUUUCCUCCAGGAAGAAUGGUUAUCUUGCAGAAGAAAUUAUAAUGAUAGGUCGUCCAGCCGGGGGGUGGUGGUAGGCAUGACAUCAAGUUACCGGGUCAUCAAAGGAUCAACAUCAUAACCCUUGGAAAGUUGUCCCAACCAUCAUAUCUGACCGAGAUUCAUAUCCAAUUGGUGUCAUAAUACCUCAGACUCAGGAUGCUUGAGAAGAAAAGGUGCGACACAAUUUGACGUGAUGACACUGUAAGAUUCUUGAGAAAUGAACUAUGAAGUGAUUUCCGUUAACAAGAGUUCAUCAUUAACCCAAGGAGAGUACAAGGAGGUGGCUGAUGAACUCAGCUACAAUUCAUCAAGAUUUCCAUAGGAUGGAUUUCCACAAUUAUGUGAACAAGGAGAUAACAUUUGUCAGGUCAAAAUGAUAUAAUGGGAUAUGCUCGAGGAAAACAUACAUAAUUAAUCAUUGGUUGAAAGGUGCACCCGAAAUAUGGGCUGGGUUGCACGGCCAAUGUUAUAAUGGUGAUUCAAUUAUCAAAAGACUUAGAAUGAACUAUCACCCAUUCACUUGUUGGAAUCAACACGGGAACCAAGAAAGAAUGGUGAUGGUGAGAAGCAUCACUGUACCAAGAAUUCUUAAGAGGUGGUGAAAUUCUCACGACAUUCUUGACAUAAAGGAUGGUAAUACUCCAAGGUAAAUACGAACAAAUGCUGGAUAGCAAGCAUCUUAAGGUAUAACACAAAACACGAACAAGUUUGUGUUAAACAGAAGGCAAUAAAGUGGUCGAUGACAACACAAAUCAUCAAGGGCAAGGAUGGUAUUUCUCAUCAUGACUCCGGUUGAUAUCCUGGAAGAGCUCAUAAGGUUGAUGAUGAUCAUGACACAUUUGUCGAGAGAUUUCAUGAACAUGUAAUCAAUCAGCGAUGACAUCAAGUCAAGGGAAUGAUGAAGCAAGAGGUUAUUGGAACCACAGUUACGACACAAACUCGAACUCAAGCUUGUUGUUUAAGGUGAAAGGGUAUGACGAGGAAAAUCGACGUAAGCUUAGCUAUCGUCUUAAAUUGGUGCUCCGAGAAUAAGGACCAGGUAGCACAGUUAGAAUCAUCAUGACAACGAUAUAGCCAAACAGGCUAGGAAUGGCGUGAUCGGGUACAAACUCGUACUUAUAGAAGCUUACUGAAGAGCUGUUGAACCGCAGUGCGGACUCGGUUCAGUUAUCGGUGUCUAUGAGUGUUUAAUAACUCAGAGCCCGUGAAAAAUUGGAAUUAGUGGGAAGGUAGCACUUGAUGAAGAACUCAUAAGAAGUUAUGCAGUUCCAUGAUAAUCUCGAGAUACCAGGGGGUAAUACUCGAUGAAAUAUCAAAGUAGAGGUUGGACCGGGGUAUUGCUCUACAGAAGACAAGUGCUAAAACUUGCACGAGAAAUGGUAUUUAAAAGAGAACAUGAUCAGAACCACGAUUGCAAAAGGCCAGAUCCCUGAUAUAAGAUGAACUUAUACCAAAGGAAUAAUUAAUUUAAGAGAAGCUUUAAUGAUAAGAUCUACAUCGUGUCCAUGGGCAUGAACACAAGUUCAAGGUCGACUCCCACUUCUCCAAUGCAUAACCUUUCAUUCACUUCUCACAUUCGAUGAAGUUGCAGUUUUGAAAUUUUAUCUGGCGAAGCACCAGAAGAGUAUGAUUCGUGAAAACUUUCGGGUUCACACGGUUUAGAGAAGGCAUAUGUUCAACCCAUAGGGGCUUCUUAGAAACAUAUACCACAAGUUUCAAGAGUAAAUAACACAAGCCCGAAAACAGAGCAUGGUUGGCCAAGCAGAGGAUACAACUUAACAAAGGCAUUAUGUAUCAGGGGAAGAACUCACAAAGUGAUCAAAUGUGAAGGACACUGUCGGAUAACAAUCCAACAAAGGACUUGAUGGUCCACAAAGGAUCUGAUGUGAGUAUCGAUACUCAACCAGAAGAGGAAGGAAUGCAAAUGCAACAGGUUAUGGAACCAUCUGAAUAAUCCAAAGCUUAGAUGCAAAGGAAUUAUGAUUUCCAAAACAAAGGAUCAGAAGCAGACGUUCUGAUCAAGGAUGGAUCAAUUGAAUAUACCAGAGGCACAAUUCGACGACAGAUAGUUUGGUCGAGAACCAGCUCAUGUUCAAAAUGACGUCUGAGCCGGAAAGAUAAUCCUAGGACUCGACUGAUGAUUGCGAACAUUCACAACAUAUUGAAUCAACGGACUCAAAAAUGAUGGUGACAAAGGAUGCCAAUAUGAUUACUAUACUUAUGGGAUUAAUCAUAAUGAAAGCAAACAAGAAAUUCCAGAGCAAUAGGUUGCUGAGGAUUUUCGGAAUAUCGAAUGGUAUUUCGAAGACUUUUGUGUAACACAUGAACAACUGGGGGAUGAGCGGAUACUCGAUAAGUGUGAGAAUCAACCGUAGGGGUAUUCAGGUGACAAAGAAUAGCAAGGUAGUAAGCUCAAAGGAUUAUCGAAACAACGACGAGUUUUUCGGGGUAUCUUGUAAUAGCAAGACCAACUGGGGACGAAGGUAGGAAUAACAACUGCAAGUAGUUAUCCAUAAGGGUUUACGGUGGAAGGGGAAUUGCAAACGCGAUGAACACAAGUUCUCGAGUUAACAGCGGAGAGUAUCUUCAGGGUCUUCUGUUGCAGCCGACGAUCAUCAGUAAUAAGGGGCUCUCCGGGUGAAAGUGAUAACGAGAUCCUAAUGUUAGAUUUAGCAAAGUUCAUGUAACCCGAAUAGAAGAGAGAUUAGAGUCCCAGAGUAAGAUCGAGGAGUAAAAGAUCCUAAUACCACCCAAUGGCGACGUGGGCCCAUGGGCCACACAGCCAAGUUAGUAAAAGUUUUGUAAAGUCUAGACUCGACUUCGGCCAAGGAGUGUGGAAGGGGAAUUCCUACAGGCAGUCGGCUCUAAUACCAACUUGUGAUGCCCCGAUUCAAUCGUACACUAAUCAUGCACGCAAACGUGUACGAUCAAGAUCAGGGACUCACGAAAAGAUAUCACAACACAACUCUAAAACAUAAAUAAGUCAUACAAGCAUGAUAAUACAAGCCAGGGGCCUCGAGGGCUCGAAUACAAGUGCUCGAUUAUAGACAAGUCAGCGGAAGCAACAAUAUCUGAGUACAGACAUAAGUUAAACAAGUUGCCAUAAGAUGGCUAGCACAAACUGGGAUACAGAUCGAAAGAGGCGCAGGCCUCCUGCCUGGGAUCCUCCUAAACUACUCCUGGUCGUCGUCAGCGGCCUGCACGUAGUAGUAGGCACCUCCAGUGUAGUAGGAAACAUCGUCGACGGUGGCGUCUGGCUCCAGGGCUCUAGCAUCUGGUUGCGACAACCAGGUAGAAGGGAAAGGGGAAAAGAGGGAGAAAAGCAACCGUGAGUACUCAUCCAAAGUACUCGCAAGCAAGGAGCUACACUACAUAUGCAUGGGUAUAUGUGUAAAGGGCCAUAUCGGUGGACUGAACUGUAGAAUGCCAGAAUAAGAGGGGGGUAGCUAAUCCUGUCGAAGACUACACUUCUGGCAGCCUCCGUCUUGCAGCAUGUAGAAGAGAGUAGAUUGAAGUCCUCCAAGUAGCAUCGCAUAGCAUAAUCCUACCCGGCGAUCCUGCCCUCGUUGCCCUGUGGAAAAGCGAUCACCGGGUUGUCUGUGGAACUUGUCUGGGUGUGUUUUAUUAAGUAUCCGGUUCUAGUUGUCAUAAGGUCAAGGUACAACUCCAAGUCGUCCUGUUACCGAAGAUCACGGCUAUUCGAAUAGAUUAACUUCCCUGCAGGGGUGCACCACAUAACCCAACACGCUCGAUCCCAUUUGGUCGGACACACUUUCCUGGGUCAUGCCCGGCCUCAGAAGAUCAACACGUCGCAGCCCCACCUAGGCACAACAGAGAGGUCAGCACGCCGGUCUAAAUCCUAUGCGCGCAGGGGUCUGGGCCCAUCGCCCAUUGCACACCUGCACGUUGCGUACGCGGCCGGUGAGCAGACCUAGCAACCUCCAUUACAAAGGAAGUUGCGUGAACGCAGUCCAACCCAGCGCGCGCCGCUCAGUCGCUGAUGUCAAAAAGGCUUCGGCUGAUACCACGACGUCGAGUGCCCAUAACUGUUCCCGCGUAGUUGGUUAGUGCGUAUAGGCCAGUAGCCAGACUCAGAUCAAAUACCAAGAUCUCAUUAAGCGUGUUAAGUAUCCGCGAACGCUGAACAGGGCCAGGCCCACCUAUCUCCUAGGUUGUCUCAACCUGCCCUGCCGCUCCGCCACAAAGUAACAGUCGGGGGCCGUCGAGAACCCAGGCCCACCUCUACCGGGAUGGAGCCACCUGUCCCUUCAGCCCCCUCAUCAGAAUCACUUGUGGGUACUCAUCGAGCUGACCCGACUUUAGUCACCAUUUGUAUAGUAUGUAUGUAUGUAUAGUAUAUACCCAUUAUCACCUCCCGAGUGAUCAAGGCCCAAUAGUAUAGCAAGGCAGACUGACAAGAAUGUAGGGCCAAUGAUGAUAAACUAGCAUCCUAUACUAAGUAUUUAGGAUUGCAGGUAAGGUAUCAACAGAUGUAGCAAGAAUGUCAGGCUAUGCAUCAGAAUAGGAUUAACGGAAAGCAGUAACAUGCUACACUACUCUAAUGCAAGCAGUAUAGAGGAGAAUAGGCAAUAUCUGGUGAUCAAGGGGGGGGGGCUUGCCUGGUUGCUCUGGCAAGAGAGAGGGGUUGUCAACUCCGUAGUCGAACUAGGGCAUCAGCAUCGUCACGGGGUCUACCGAAGAGAAGAGGGGGGAGAAACAGUAAAUACAUAGCAAGCAAGUGCAUAACAGGAUAACAGGCAGAGCUAGACGUGUUCUAACGCGGUAUGAGGUGAUACCGGUGAAGGGGGGAAGCAUCCGGGAAGUAUUCCUGGGGUUCCGUGUUUUCGGGCAGAGGAGCCGGAGGGGGAAAGUUGCGAGUUCGAUAGGUUAGGGGGGUGUGGCAGACGAACGGGUUGCGUAUCCGAAAUCGUCUCAUCGUUCUGAGCAACUUUCAUGUACAAAGUAUUUUCAUCCGAGUUACGGAUUAUUUUAUAUUAAUUUUUAAAGUUUUAUGUCAUUUUUAGAAUUAACAGAAUUAAUUAAACUGAAAAUCAUUUUAUCACGUCAUCAUGAUGUCAGCAUGACAUCAACGGUCAACUGUGGACUUUGACUAGUCAACAGACCACUCGGUCCCACAUGUCAUUGUCUAAGGAUAACUAAACAGGUUUAAUUAGUUUAACUAGUGAUUAGGUUGGUCUAAACAGAAUUAAUUAAGUUAAUUAAUUUAGUUAAUUAAUUAAUUAACAUUUUUAUUUAUUUAUUUUUAUUACUUUGUUUUGUUUUGGGGCUGUGGGCCCCUCGUGUCAUAGAGUCAAGGCCUUAACGGGCGCGGGAACUGGGCUAAUGAGGCUUCGCCCCGGUCGUGCAGGCGCGUGCGCCGGGCGCCUUAGCGCGCGGACAGGGGGGAAGGGGACGGCGUGUGGUCCGACACCGGCGACCGUGGCCGGUGCAAGGCGGCGCGGCGAGGCCGGCCGGAGCUGAGGGGAGGCGCGAUGGCAUGUGCGCGGGGCGCCAGAGGCGAGCAGCGCAACGACGAGCGAAGCUGGGCCGCGCGGGCGGGGCGCCGUGGCCGAGCGGGAAGUUGCAUCGCGCAGGGCGCGGUCGGGCAGCCGUGUACGGCGAGGCGAUGGCGGGGGAACGGCUCGGGUGCACGGUGACAGGGGAAGAGGGGAGAGGAGGAGGGCGCAUGCUCACAGGGGUGUUGCAGGGGUUCGGGCAGCGGGGGGACGAGGAGGUGGACGGGGACGACCGGCGAGGAAGGCGGAGACGGGGUUGAGGAGGCGGUCCGGCGGGCUCCGACGACGGCGCGAGGCGGCGGUGAUGUCGACGACGUUGACUAGGCGUCUGGCCACGAGGGAGACGCGACGGGGCCGCGAGUAGGAUGGCAACGAGGUGGCAGGGCGACGUCGAGGCGAGGUGGCGCUGGUGAUCCGGCGACGGCGCACAGCGGCGGGGGCGAAGGGAUCGGGGCGGCGAGCGAUUGGGCGCGGCCAUGCGGGAGGAGGGGAUCGAGCAGGGGCGCCCCUCCCCCAGGCACGAUGCGUGCAUGAGUGUGUGUGCGUGUGUUGCAUGUGGUGGCGGCGGGUGAGGGGACGAGGGGAAAGGUGGGAGGAGUGGGACGACGGGGGCAACGGGUUAGGGUUUAUGGGGGGAGGGGUAGUGGCCUUGUAGGCCAGAGAUGGGGGGGCGGCUGGGCCGGCCGGUCGGCCAGCUGGGUCGGGGCCCAACGGGAGGGGAGGUUUUCUCCUUUUGUUUGUUUUAUUUUCCCCUUGUUAUUUUUCUUUAUUUCUUUUCUGUUACUUUUAGUUUCACUUUUAUUUUAGAUAUUUGACUUACAAAAGUAGUUCCUAACUUAGUCUAAAUAAUUAUACUACGACCACAUAAGUUUGGGCAACUAGAUAGAAUAGUUUAAGAAUUUGUUAAUUGUAAAAAGCAUUUGAUUAAUUGUUUUACUACUAUUUUAUAUACUUUAGGACAAUCAAACACUUUCAAAGAGGUUGGUUUUUCCACCAUUAUUACUUAUGCAUUAUUUGGCUCUCUCCGAACAUUUUUGUCUUAAGGUUUGAAAACUUUUAUUGUUUGUUUGAUUUUUUAAUUUGGACUCGAACCGGUUUCAAACUAACGCGAGAUUAGCAGCAGUAACCGAGGUGAUCUCGCAUCAUUAGCAUGGGAUCAUUGUAGCUUAAUUAUCUGGGCGUCACAGAAGUCAUGGAAAUACCUCAAGUAAAUAAUCCAAAAUAUUAUUCUGUAUUCCUUCUCGAGAGACUGGCUUCUUGUUCAAUUAAAAAAAUCAUAUUUCUUAUUCAGUUGGAGCGUUCGCAAUAGUAGAGCUUUCUUCAGGAUUAUUUGUAGAGAUGUACGGACUUUCUUUAUCUACAGAUUAAUAGGCUGAAACACCAACACCAUGAUUUUCAGACCCUGCCAACUCUAUAAUUCUAUAAGAUCCAAUACCUGCUAGAUUGUUCCACAACACCAAUGUCCAAGUCAAUACCAUAUAUUAUCCACUGAAAUGUAUGAUUUAAUAUCAUAUGCAAAAACAUUAGAGCAAUGUGCUCUCCUUUACCCAUAUUGUGUACCACAGAACAUUAUGAACAUUAGGGGAGGAUUAGCCUACAACUAUUUUAGAUCCUGCACCAAAUACUUGUAGUUUUCCUAAAUUAGGGAGAAGAACAAGGUUGAAAUCCGCAAGAGUCGUAUAGAAAUUUCUGCAAUCAAUAUCAUACCUGAUCCAUGUACGACAGCCUCUAAAUAAGCAACAUAAGUCCACAAUCCAUAAG
rnacentral:lncRNA from 1 species